CGGUCUGAUGUUCAACACUGAAUCUUUAGCAAUGCAGCAAGCGUCAAGCGCGAAAGAAGAGAGCGCUUCACGCAACUAAAAGUGCCAACACAAAGGUUGAAGAUUGAGUGUUGAACAUCAGAUAGUGGCGAACGGGUGAGUAACGCGUAGACAACCUGCCUUCCAGAUGGGGACAACACCGCGAAAGUGGUGCUAAUACCGAAUGUUGUAUUUUGGGUGCAUGCCUGAGAUACGAAAGGUGGCCUCUAUUUAUAAGCUACCGCUGGAAGAUGGGUCUGCGUCUGAUUAGCUAGUUGGUGGGGUAACGGCUCACCAAGGCGACGAUCAGUAGCCGGUCUGAGAGGAUGAACGGCCACACUGGGACUGAGACACGGCCCAGACUCCUACGGGAGGCAGCAGUGGGGAAUCUUCCGCAAUGGACGAAAGUCUGACGGAGCAACGCCGCGUGAGUGAAGAAGGUUUUCGGAUCGUAAAACUCUGUUUUCAGGGACGAAUGUGCUGUUUGUAAAUAAUGAACAGCAAUGACGGUACCUGACAAGAAAGCCACGGCUAACUACGUGCCAGCAGCCGCGGUAAUACGUAGGUGGCAAGCGUUGUCCGGAAUUAUUGGGCGUAAAGCGCGCGCAGGUGGGAUAUUAAGUCUGGUGUUAAAGUUCGGGGCUCAACCCCGUGAAGCAUUGGAUACUGAUAUUCUUGAGUGCAG
rnacentral:rRNA from 1 species